GAUGAACGCUGGCGGCGUGCCUAAUACAUGCAAGUCGAGCGAACGGACGAGAAGCUUGCUUCUCUGAUGUUAGCGGCGGACGGGUGAGUAACACGUGGAUAACCUACCUAUAAGACUGGGAUAACUUCGGGAAACCGGAGCUAAUACCGGAUAAUAUUUUGAACCGCAUGGUUCAAAAGUGAAAGACGGUCUUGCUGUCACUUAUAGAUGGAUCCGCGCUGCAUUAGCUAGUUGGUAAGGUAACGGCUUACCAAGGCAACGCUGCAUAGCCGACCUGAGAGGGUGAUCGGCCACACUGGAGCUGAGACACGGUCCAGACUCCUACGGGAGGCAGCAGUAGGGAAUCUUCCGCAAUGGGCGAAAGCCUGACGGAGCAACGCCGCGUGAGUGAUGAAGGUCUUCGGAUCGUAAAACUCUGUUAUUAGGGAAGAACAUAUGUGUAAGUAACUGUGCACAUCUUGACGGUACCUAAUCAGAAAGCCACGGCUAACUACGUG
rnacentral:rRNA from 1 species